AGUUAUGUUGCAUUCGAAGCUAGAAAAGGAAAAAAAAGGAAGGAAAAAAAAUUAUGUGGUACUAAAUUCCCCAUAGGUGUUGGAAUGAUGGAUUCUCUAAAAAGUCAAACUGAUUUGAAGCUGUAAGAUCAAGUUUUGGUAGUAGCAGGAAAAUACUUUUCGUUCGCAUUGACAGAUUUUUUUUCUCUAUUCAGUUUCUUUCCAAAUAAAACUCUUCUUAGAGCAAUUUAAAAAGAACACUACGAAACCAUUCAAUAUCCUUCUGUCUGAAGAACAAACUAGAAAUCCCUACAAAUCGAUUAUUGCUACGAAAUUGUUAUUAAUGUAUUAGAAAAAGGAGUUUAAAAAACUUAGCUGCAAAGAAAAAUACGAAAUGACUGAGGCACCCACCAAUAGUUUUCAUACCCCUUAUAUAUAUGGACUACAAUUCUUGAGUUAUUCUUUCACAUGGCAGUUCAAGAUUUUUCUGGAGAAAGAAAAUGACACAAGUUGAUAAAUUUAUCUAUAUCAAUUGUCCAUCAAGAUGCUAUCUUGAAUACAAAGAUAAGAAACUGUCUGAAUAAAUAGCAAAAAUGAAAGAAAAAAAAAAAAAGACCUGCUUUGAUUCCAUGAUAUACAGCUGCAUGGAUGUUUGCAAGGAAUUUCAUGAUGUAAGGACCACUGGCUCAAAUUCAUUACAUCAGGAGCCUCAUAAAUACGAACUACAC